ensembl:lncRNA
AUGGCUGGCACAGGACCCCCGGGGCACGGCAGGUGCCCGUUGCCCGCUCCGCCAGCGGCUGCAUUCCCCAAAAGCACACCAUCCCAUCGUGUCUGCUGCCUCCUGACCCCCGGCCCUUAUCUCAUCCCACAUCACCUUCCUGCGUUUCCUGGCCUCUCCCUGCCCCGGGCCAUCCCUGGGUCUCCGGAGCGAGCCGUGGCCACGCCCGAGCUGGCGCGGGUUACCAGCAGCCGCGGGGCUGGGACCGCUCGCCGCCGGGCCCGGGCUUCGCGCUCGUCCUGGCCGCUGGGGCCUCGGAGAGCGGCGGCAGGAGCGAGGCAUCACCCGAGCGCUGACAGGCGCCUCUCCGCCUUCCCCGCCCGGCGCAUUCGCCUUGCCACGUGCAGAACCCGGCAGGCGCGGACCGCCAGCGCCCUCGCGGUUGCCGUGGCUACGCACGAGCGGCCGCAGCUGACCCAGGCGGGGCCUCCCUCCGCCGCCUCCGCCUCGGGCUCCGUCCCCGCUCGGUUAGGGAACCCCAAGCCCCCGGCCCCUACAAGCUGUGCACACCUGCAGCAGACCCGUUUCUGCAAAGCUUCUGAAGAAAAGAAAACAACUUCAAAGCGCUUGGAAAAGUUGUUGAAUAGGAAAGCUGGCUGUCCUGGAAAUCCCGGCUACUGCUCUGUAACACAAGGCACCUCACCUGUCUCUGCUCAGGCACACAGGUGCUGGGACAGGGAAGAAGAGGAGUUCCAGGCACAUGAGCUGGGAGUGCCAAAGAACAGACACACAGCUGGCACUGAAGGGAGGAGCCAGCUAACAUCUAAGACCAACAGCCCUUCAAACGGCCCUUCAGACUGUGCUGUGGAAGCCAGGGCAGCACCUCCAGACCAUUUAUCCCCACUUCCAAGUUCUGCAAGACAAGUUGUUGUGAUCGUCAAGUUCUGGAAGACUAACUGUCAUGGAUAG